rnacentral:rRNA from 1 species
UACGUAGGGGGCAAGCGUUGUCCGGAAUCAUUGGGCGUAAAGAGCGUGUAGGCGGUCCGGAAAGUCUGGUGUGAAAUCUUAGGGCUCAACCCUAAGCUGUCACUGGAUACUGUCGGGCUUGAGUCCGGAAGAGGCGAGUGGAAUUCCCGGUGUAGCGGUGAAAUGCGCAGAUAUCGGGAGGAACACCAAUGGCGAAGGCAGCUCGCUAAACUGUAACUGACGCUGAGGCACGAAAGCGUGGGGAUCAAACAGG